UGGCGCCGCCGCGUUCCCUCUUCCUCCUUGAAACCGCGUUCACCAGAAAGUGCAGAGUAUGCCUUUUAUCAUUUACAAUGACGUCAUCAGGCCACCGCUGCUGCAAAGCAGGUGCGGUCAAACAGGAGCCAACAGCAUCACUUUGACCGACGGUCGCUGUACAGUUAACCUGUAGCUGUCUCAGCAACAUUAAGGCAAAGGACAUCAUCCACAUGUUUAGUAAAAGAUGUCUACUUCAAUUGUCUAGGUCUGACUGUUGGUUAUCUUGCAGGUCUGAUGGUAGAGAUGAGGUUAAACAUCUCCACAGGAGGAUGCGUUAAGUGAAUGACUGGUGUGAUGGCCUAUAGUUGCUUAAUUCGCAGAGAUUGGCUGAAUGAACCCGUGUGCGGUCUCUAAGAUGCUACAAUAUACUGGCAGGAAGUCACCUAAAAGAUGCUGUGCCUCCAGAGAUGCUUAGUCCCUGUAAGAACCGUCGGUGCAAGUUGGGGAAACUUGAGCUGGAGAAUUCAGGCCCAGGUACGUGGUCUUCACUAUGACUUGGGAUGCUUGAGCUGUUGUAUCGGAAUUCUGAGUGGAUCAGACUUUGCCACUUGUUUUGCCCAGGUGCAUGGUCUUCACUAUGGUUUAAAGGAUGCAAGAUGAAAGCUUCAGCUGUCUGACGUCCAAGUGGACCAGAGUUGGCACUUUUUCUUUGCUUGUCAUGUGACCCAAUUAGACUAUUGGCCUAAUAUAUUGGUGUUUCCAUGUAUGUUUUCUGUUUAAUAAAAGCU